CCAGUCUGUUUCUCAUCGUGUUGCUGUGAAAUACAGACUGAACGGUGGCUCAAAACGCAAACUCUCUCAGUUGGAAAAAGAAAACCUGUGUCGCUAAAAAGGUUUUGAUGGAUGACGAUUGUAAUGAAGAUGAGUAGCAGGUAGCUUGAAAACUGGUUAAGCGUAUUAACAGUGGAACAGGAUGACAGGCUGAAGACAAAGGCAGAUGUGGGAAUAGGAUGGCAGGUAAGUAAUCCAGUUGAGUCUUGACUCUUGACAUAGACGAAACCAGACAUGGAAGUGAGGGAAUGGUCAGCUUAUAAAGCGUGACUGGUGACGAGGUGCAGGGGCAGGUGAUCAGUAUUCUGGUGAUUGCGAAUGAGUGGGCGGAUCUGGUGUUGCUGGUGUGAUUGGUGUGGUGACUGAGGCCCCGUCCACACGGAGACGCGUUUCUGUGAAAACGCACAAAUUUUGUAUCGGAUAGGCGUUUCGUCCACACGGAUCCGGCGUUUUCGGAAGGUGAAACCGCUAUUUUUUGAAACCGGGUCCCAGAGUGGAUAAAUCUGAAAACGCCGUCUUCGCGUUUUCGUGUGGACAGCCUAUCCGUAUAUUUUGUGAAAUGAUGAUGUCAUCACCCCACGUGUCGACCCUAGUCAGACGCUGCUAACAGCACAAAACAGCCACAGCAACAACAAUAGCAGACUCUAGAUGCUUGUGUUCAUGCUGCAGAAGCUACUGAGCCAAAAUAAAGCGUUAUUUCUAAGCUUUACUAUAGUUUGUAUACAGCGUGCAAGGUUUAUGUGCAUGCUCCAAGUCUUAUUCUCUGUUUUAAGUGUAUCUCUGUGGCAGAAUUACAGCACCACAUACUGGUCUGGCAUAUAUACUACAUCAUUUUGAGUCAUUUCAGUGGUUUUGUGUGGACGCAGAUAUUUCUUGAGACGAGGAAAAAAAAAAGAUCAGAUUGGGUAAGCUCUGGCUUCGUGUGGACGUAGCCUGAAUCCGUGACAUUAGUAGGUAGGGUUGUCACCUGGCAAAAUAAGGGACACCCUUAUUAGAUAUUAAGAGAUUAUCCAAAUUAAAAAAAAAAUA